rnacentral:rRNA from 1 species
CAGCAGCCACGGUAAUACAGAGGGUGCAAGCGUUAAUCGGAAUUACUGGGCGUAAAGCGCGCGUAGGUGGUUUGUUAAGUUGGAUGUGAAAGCCCCGGGCUCAACUUGGGAACUGCAUCCAAAACUGGCAAGCUAGAGUACGGUAGAGGGUGGUGGAAUUUCCUGUGUAGCGGUGAAAUGCGUAGAUAUAGGAAGGAACACCAGUGGCGAAGGCGACCACCUGGACUGAUACUGACACUGAGGUGCGAAAGCGUGGGGAGCAAACAGGAUUAGAUACCCGAGUAGUCCCUGUCUCUUAUAU